GGAUAGAGCAACUGCCUUCUAAGCAGUAGGUUUCAGGUUCGAGUCCUGAUGGGACUGCA
rnacentral:tRNA from 1 species